rnacentral:rRNA from 1 species
AGGACGAACGCUGGCGGCAUGCCUAAUACAUGCAAGUCGAACGAACACUUCGGUGUUAGUGGCGCACGGGUGCGUAACGCGUGGGAAUCUGCCCUUGGGUUCGGAAUAACAGUUGGAAACGACUGCUAAUACCGGAUGAUAUCGAAAGAUCAAAGAUUUAUCGCCCAGGGAUGAGCCCGCGUAGGAUUAGCUAGUUGGUGAGGUAAAGGCUCACCAAGGCGACGAUCCUUAGCUGGUCUGAGAGGAUGAUCAGCCACACUGGGACUGAGACACGGCCCAGACUCCUACGGGAGCAGCAGUAGGGAAUAUGGACAAGUGGGACGAAAGCCUGAUCCAGCAAUGCCGCGUGAGUGAUGAAGCCGUUAGGUUAGUAAGCUUCUUUACCGAG